rnacentral:rRNA from 1 species
AACGUAGGAGACGAACGUUAUCCGGAGUUACUGGGCGUAAAGGGCGUGUAGGCGGUUUGUUAAGUCUGGCGUGAAAGCUCUCGGCUAAACCGGGAGAGGUCGUUGGAUACUGGCAAACUAGAGGAUGGUAGAGGCGUGUGGAAUUCCGGGUGUAGCGGUGGAAUGCGUAGAGAUCCGGAAGAACACCGGUGGCGAAGGCGGUUAGCUGGGCAGUUGCUGACACUGAGGCGCGACAGCGUGGGGAGCAAACAGG